rnacentral:rRNA from 1 species
AAUCGGAAUAAUCGGCAAUGGGCGAUAGCCUGACCGUGCAACGCCGCGUGAGCGAUGAAGGCCUUCGGGUUGUAAAGCUCUGUGUUGUGGGAAGAACAACUGGUAGGUGAAUAAUUUAUCAGUCUGACUGUACCAUAAUAGAAAGCCCCGGCUAACUUACGUGCCAGCAGCCGCGGUAAUACGUAGGGGGCAAGCGUUGUUCGGAAUCACUGGGCGUAAAGGGCGUACAGGUGGUCAUGUAAGUCUGAUGUGAAAUUCUUGGGCUCAACCUGAGAUCUGCAUUUGAUACUGCAUGACUUGAGAUCAGGAGAGGAGAGUGGAAUAUGUGGUGUAGCGGUGAAAUGCGUAGAUAUCACAUAGAACACCAGUGGCGAAGGCGGCUCUCUGGCCUGGUUCUGACACUGACGCGCGAAAGCUAGGGUAGCGAACGGGAUUAGAAACCCUAGUAGUCC